GUUUGAUCUCAAAUCAGGUAGGACUACCCGCUGAACUUAAGCAUAUCAAUAAGCGGA
rnacentral:rRNA from 1 species